rnacentral:lncRNA from 1 species
UUUGAACAGCGGUAUACUACUGUUGCCUUUGUUUAUUUGCGCAAAUUAUCAAUCUAUGGUGUCAUCAAAAUUAGUUGUCGUGUAUAAUUUACUAUAGGUGAUAUGUUUAUUGCAUAAUGAAGUUCAACCAGAAACAAGUUUGAGAUUUAUUAUCUGGUUUGUAUUAAACUAAGAAAAUAUGAUAUUUCAAAAGCAUAGACACCACUGGCCAAGGUUAGAGGGAUGGUUGGGAUUCCCGGUAAAAUUGGUAA